UUUUUAUAAUACUCCAAAGUACUUUAAUUAAGUAGGUAUUAAAAUCAAUUAACAUGUACAAAUAGAACUGCACUCAUAUUUCAUGAUGACUUUUUGUAAUUUACUUUACCGACUUUCACUCAUUAAUGUCGUGCAAAACGCAAUUUCGACAACGUACUAUGCAAUAAACAAACGCAGAAAUAUACAGACUACUAACAAUCAAUCAUCAAUGGUUCAUAAAUUUAAAAUCAUAAAUAUUGACUCUACUUGUACGUUGCCUCUAUACGAGUAGCCUAAUGAAAAGCCAAAAUAUUUCAAACCAUGCUUACAGAGAAAAAGAAAACUAUAUGCCAUUUAUAAUUUGGAUGAUGAUGAUGAUGAUGAAUCAUAAAUAUUAGCAACCUACCAUAUAUGCUGCUAAAUUUACUCAAAUAACGAUUUGUUUUAUAAUGCAUUUUUCCCUAAAGGUCAUUGACAUGUCACAUUGACAUUGCUCUCAAUGUACACAUAAAUAUGCACACACAACUUUACAAUUUUAAUGUUAAAAAAAAUAAAAAUCAAGUAUUCAUUCAUGUUUAAGAGGGUUUUGAAAUAGCCAAAUAGUGGGCUGGACAUACUAUUAGAACACUCUGGCAUCCUAGAGGGCAUAAAAAGAUGGUCCGAUGGCUAGAAGGACUUAGUUGAUAAUGAGAAGAUUGGGGGAGGCCUUUGCCCAAAGGCACACAGAAGCGGUUACCGUAGAAUGUAGAUUAAGGAAAACUGUAGAUACAGUAUAUAAAAAAAAUGAACUCUGAAAUAAGACUAUAAAUAAAUAAAAUAAGAGGGUUUUGAAAACUACAACAGUUUUUACACAAAACAUACCCUCAGUUACUCGCCUGAUUUUGAGUACCCCUUAGGAGAAUACAACAAAACCUUAAGAGUUUGAAAAGUAUAAAGUUUUGAUUGUUUAUUAGCAAAGAAAAUAAAAAAAAUAUUACAAUACUUUUGAAGUCACACGUCUACAUAUGUCUUCUUGGUCGGCAUCUCCAUCUCUAAAACUGUGUCUUGAAAUUCUAUGCAGUCCUUAUCAGGGCGUUUUUCAACAGAAAAUCCAGGGAUUGUAGUUACUUGAUCAUACUAGCUGCUAGGAGACCGGCUACAAGAUCCUACUUGCCUCCAUCUUGUCCACAUCUUGUCAAAAUUAUCCAGUUGUCAGCAAGCAAUUCGAAUGUGACUAAAGUAGUCAAAACUUUCUGAAGUGUCACAACACACACACACACACACUGUAACACACCCACUUGAACUUACUUAAUUUGAAUGUAGUUAUUUCAGGUUCUCACUUCACUUAAUUACAAUUAUAAGAAUCAGAAUCAGAUAUUAUUUAUUUGCAUUGGUACAGUAUGGGGAUGUUACAAUAUGGUGUUACAGAUCAUGUACCUAGCUAAGAUCUCUAUUUACACUUUAAAAUGUGUAAUGUGUUUGACACAUCAACUUAUUUAAAAGAAAUUCGAACCGUAAUACUAUUUUAGACGUCUAGGUACACUAAAUAGUUAAAUACCUAUGUGUUCCUAAUAUAAUUACAUUUAUUUAAUUACCCUUGUAUUUAUUUUUACAGCUGUUCUUAGUUAUAAAAUAAGGGUUAGGUAGGUAAUAUACUUUUAGACCAAAGCAGACAAAUAAGAAAAUAAAAGAAUACAUACUGAGUUUCCUGAAGUUCCAUGAGAAAUUGUCCUGUAUCACCUGCACCUAGAAGAUCCUUUGUCUUCGUUCUUGACCCGUGCAAUCAAUCACCAUUUGAUUUCAAAAAUACUUGCAAAGAGGACGAGUUCUUUGAAUGUUUUAUAAACUUCCAUUAUAGUUAUACAGCGUUGUGUCAGCGAUUAUCCAAAGUACACCUUGCUUUCUUCUUCUCCGCCUAUAUCUCAAGCCUUUAUUGAAGCAACCACACAUCAUUCGUCGUGUUUACUGUCGCACAGGGAAACCGUGAUUCAAGUCAAGUACAUGCCGAAACGCAGGUUGAUGGAUUCCAGUCCGAUAAGGUUUCUUCUUCCUAUAUUCUUGAAUAUCUCCAGAUUGCGUGGUCCAGCAGUUGCUUGAACGCGUUAGCCAGCUGUAGCACGUCUUUGUUGUUAUUUUCAGCAAUGCCACAGAUUUCCAAGUAGUUGUAAUCACUUGCUCAAGUUUCAUCACUUUGAAAGUCAAAUAAAAUCACAAAACUCACUAAAUCUAGUAAAUCUUGUCACUCGCGCACAGCAAUGAUCAUAAAUUAUACUCAUUUUAACGUAAUUUCAAUUAAAUAACAUUACACUUUCUCACAAAACAAUAAUUUAUCCGUAAAAACGCGCUCUGUUUAUUUAGCAAGUUAAAUAAAACACUGACUGAGCCACAGAAUAAGUAAUCGUAUGAACUGUCAAAAUUGAAGCUAUAGGCAGUCAAACACGUUUGUCAGCAGAAAAGGUGCGAAAUUCAAACUUUCUAUGGGGCGACAACUCAUCGCGCCUACAUUUUCCAAAGCCGCAAGAAAUCGACAGUGUAGACUCGCCUUUUUGCAUAGAUAAUAUAUUUUUCUAAAGGUGCGCGUGCGUCCGUGAGUAUAAAGUGAAAUCAAAAACACGCUUUAAUAUCCCUGGCAACAUGGUGCGUGUGCGCUUGGAAGUAUAAUGCGACAAAAUCAAAAACACGCUUUAAUAUUCCCGGCAACAUACAAAACACAACUCACGCAAUUUGGUCGGGUAUUGUUUGUUUGUAAGUAAGUUUCCAAUAGAUGGCGCAAGUAAUUAAAUUUGAAAAAGGAAAUACUUUAUUAUUCAAGUACAUAAUUUGUACGUCAUUAUCAAUUUGAUGAUAAAAACAUAUAAAUACAAUGAGAACAAUUUAAUUAUCAAUUUAAUAGCUUCAAAUCACAAGUUAUUCUAGACUGAAUCGGAACGCUGCUUAAGUGAUUUGUCUAUGGCAACUCCCGCGACUGUCAAGCUGUCAACCUGAUAAAGUUGUAUUUUUUUUCUUUUAACGACGUUCAUUCUCUUCAUAAUUAUUGUUUGUGAUGUUAUAUAUUAUUCAAAGUUACCUCAGUUACCGGUGUAAUACUAUUCAAAUACCAAUACAUCCAGGAAACGUUGAGAACCAAACUCUGUUUACGAUGUGACGUUGUUUCGUGGAUGAUUCAGACAACAAAAUUACCCAGACGGACCAAAUUUGAAAUAUAAAGCAAAGAUUGCCUCUGAGAGCGCUCUUAUGGGUUUAAUAAUAUUGCAACAUUGCAGAUUCUGUAGAAAACAAAUGAUGUGGGAAUUCAGAAACAUUACAUGGCCAAUGCUCCCCCUAGAAACUUGUACUUUUUUCGUCAAACGAUGGGUGAACCUAGUGCUUUUAACUACGAUCCAGUGUACAAACUGUCUAGUACAAGGAUGUGUAAAUGAGUCUAGCUGUUGAUAAUGUGCAUGAAAUGACUUAAAUGUGGAAACUUCCUCAAAACAAGCAAACUGACAACUCUAAAAAAGUGAAUGCUGGUAUGCGCAAAUCAUCACGAAAAGGAAUUGAAAUUACACUUUGGAGACUCCUUUGCUAUUUUUGAUGAAACCAAACAACUGUAAAAUCAAACAAAAAUGGUUGCCGGUAGCCGCCAGUGAAACUUUAAGUAGAGCGGUGCAAAUUCCCAAUGUUUAUUACAUUCAUGGGGCUCUUGCAAGUCUUUCGUCAAUCUCCAAUGUUCCGAGAACUGGCAUCGCUCUGCAGUAACAAUUUACCUACCUACAACCUACAUCUAC